UAUCUUCAUUCCAGAGUUAAAUAUUGAACACGCGAGCUUGAAUACUCAGUUCCAAACAAGAUUUCUAAUACUUUGCCAGCUAAUUCCUAAUCAAGGUUAUGCUGGCAAAGUAUCAGAAAUCAUGUAUAAGAGCUCGUAUAAAGAAACGAUCCGGACCACCAGUACAAUAAUAUGAUAAAUUUCAAUCCAGUGGAUUUUAUACCAGCCUCCCUCGCCCACGAAAAAGAAAAAUGAUAUUUCCAAUCCUAUAAUGUCUGAUGGAAAACAGAAAAAAAAAUGAUGAUAUUUUCCAUCUAAUCCUAAUGGAAUUGCUGAUACCAUGAAAGCUGAAAACAACAUCAAUUGUGUAACUCAACUCAACAACUACAUGUGUGAUUACAUAGUACAGAUAUGCCUUUUGAAAUCGAGGUACGAGCCAAGAGGCCUAUUCAAUCAGUUUUAUAGAUCCAAUAACUCUGAACAUCCAUGAAGGCAUUUCUUCGAGAACUAUAGAAAAUGGGAUGUUUUGUUCCUGUAUUGGAAUCUGUUCACUGUUUGCUGUUUUGAUUUACUUAUAACAGAUGGAUGGCGUGCUGAAUUUUACGCAGAAUGAAGGAAGACCAAUGUACGAUGUUUUCAACAGGUUUUAUUUAAAUAUGAUUGAAGGAUUUGACAACUAAAGUGAUCUUUGUACAAUACUUCUGCCUGCUGCAAGACUUUUCUUCUAUCCUGUUGAAUCUGGAAUCGCCGAGCCCAACAUUAAUACCAUAGAUGAGUUUUCUUUUGGCGAAAUGUGAAAGUCAAACUUGCAAAGUUUUGUGUGAGUGAGAAAACUGUGUAAGUUUGAUGUUUGCAUUUACAUGGAGGGGGGAGGGAAACCUCAUCUCUUUGUAAAGUUGGACUCUUUAGUCAAAAUGUGUCAUCAACAAGUACAGAUUGAAAUGUACAAUAGCUUCAGAAUUUUGACACAAAAACAAAUUAUUGUGGAUAAUUUUGUGUAACUGUAUACGGCAUUGUAAUCUAUAGUUACCUAGACCUACAGUUAAUAAAAUGCACUGGUUUUCAAUAUGGUAUCUGCAUGGGAAAUCUACUCGCUACAAAAACUUGUAUAAGUUUGAAUUUAGAACUAUAGGAUCUUUAUUUUAAUGCGGCAUAAUUUUUGUGAUAUUUUCUUUGUAAUAGGUACAUAUACUAAAAGCAUUUUCACAUAAUUUAAGUAAUUUUCAACUUUUUUUAAACAAUGUUUUGUGCCAUAUUUUAAUAAAACAGUUUUUUUAGCUA